rnacentral:tmRNA from 1 species
CCUUCGAGCCUGAGCUCGAAGCUCUUGCAGCUUAAGUCUGCAACGUCCACAGUCUAUCGACACCUGCUAGGUAGUCGGGGCGUCAAAAGGCAGGUAAAACCUCGGAGCGUUUGGUUGUCUAUCGGAGGCUAAACGGCUGAAGACAACAUCGGCUUGGAAGGUGUUCCUUCCUUAACCAAGCUUAAAACAACAAGUGAACUACGCGCGUAGACGCCGGAUCGGAAGUAUUGCGGGACGCGGGUUCGAUUCCCGCCACCUCC